rnacentral:misc_RNA from 1 species
UUUAUUUUUAUGUUUUUUAAAUAUUGGUGUUUUUGAAUGUGUUGUUUAAAUAACAUAAAAAAUAAAAUAUAUAUUGACAUGUAUUAAACAAAGAUAUAUAUUAUUUUAUGUUGUAUAAAUAAAUUGGCAAAAUAGAGAUGGAAGAUAAAAAUAAAAACCCUGGCAAUAACCUACUCAA